rnacentral:lncRNA from 1 species
GGGGGGAGCAUUGGCGAUGUUGGUGUUGUUUUGGUGGUUUGCCCGCGGGAAGCUUGCCGGCUAUGGUUAUUGGUGGCGGAAGGGGAAAGGGGCGGCACGUGGUUGGAACUGGGUGGUGGUGCGGAUGGUAAGGGGGAGAAUGGGUAUCGACUGGUUUUUGGCUAGAGGUAGUCCACCGGCGGCGGUUUGCCGAUGGUGAUGCAGCUGUUAUCGUG